UUUUUUUUUUUUUUUUUUUACAAAGACAGACUUGGGUCUAAGUUUUGGUGAUGUUUCUUUUCUGGACAGGGAUAGGGAUAUGAUUUUAUUCCUUAUGCAACUUAAAAAUAAGUGAGAACAUAUAACUUUACUCAAAAAAUUUAAAUUAGAAGUAACCUUCGGCUCCAUUGUUUGGGCUGUUAAAAGAGGUAAAAAUGAGACUGUACCUGGAAGCCAAACAGCGGGGUGGAGAGAACAGAACAAAGGAGAGGGAAGGCUGGCUGGGAAGAGGCUGGGAGGAGGCCGGCUUCCUAUUUCCUUAUUGCUCCAUGCAGCUGUUUUGGGUCUUUGAAUGCUCCCCACUUGCUUCUAACCUCAUCCGUGGUUCAUCCCUCUGCAUCCGCGGGUGUGUUCAAGUCUUUCUCCUAGUGUCUGCGCCCAAGCCAACAUCUGCCACGGGCCUAGGGUCCCAGUCACCGUCUUUCCAUUCUUUCUUCUCUUUGCUCCUUGUUUGUCUCCCGCCUGGUGGAGUCCUAAUUGUUUCAGAACCUUCUGGGCCCGUGAAAAGGGGAUUCGUAAUAAAAAGCUCAGGACUGCUUCAGGAAGCAUUCUUUCCUACCCCCCCCCCCCCUUUCCACACAGGCCCUUCCGAUAACCCCUUUGCUGAUCUGAGCGCUCUUUGAUUUUUCCACACACUAUACUGUUUGCUUUGAAUCGGCUUCUAGAAUUCUCAGGAAUGACCCAGUGGGCCUGGGUUUCAGGUACUGGAGAGAGGGCAGGGUAGUUGCUGCUCUUGCAGCUAAUGAAUCCAGUUCCUGGCUCCCACACUGCAUCAAAAACUCCGGUUACCACAAACUUGAGUCCCUCUUCUGGUCUCCUCGGGUACUGCAUUAUGUACACACACACACACACACACACACACACACACACACACACACACGCACGCACGGGUUUGCUAUGUGAGGUUUGGGUAGGUUGUAUACUCUUUGUGUCCCAUUUCCCUAUUUAUAAAUAUACACAGGCUUAUAGUAAGAAUUAAAUGAGUUACUUCAUGAAAGGUUUAGUAUAAUGCCAGCACAAAUGGUUAACAUUAACUAUCAUUAUUUAAUAAUUCUUUUAAAAGUUAAGUGUCUUAUAACUGAUGACACAACAUUCUCAAUGUUCUCACUCAGUUUCCCGUUUCAAGGGAGUUGAGGGAUUCAGGUGUCUGUUAAAAUGGCUGUGGAGAGAUGGAUGCUUGCUUGGCUUACUGUGUGCUGUAGAAGGGGCCUGUGGAAGUCUGUGGCAGCUUUCUUUUUCAUGGGAGAGAAACAAAAAGAAGGAUGUCCGGAUUCCAGGAAAGGAUGCAGGGAUUUGGGUAUGACUGUGUGGAACAGGAGGCAGAUGGCAGCCAGGCUGGGCAGGUGACAGUGUGCUGCUGCUACCAUCUUUGCUGGACUGUUUUUUUACCAGCUUAGAAAUCCCUAGCCACACAAGCCUUUAAAGAAUGUCACUUUAGAAAUGGUAUGCUCUAGAGUCAGAGGUAGGACUUUAAAAUUUGGAGAAGAAAAAUUAAUUUCAGGUUUGUUUAUUAUCAUCUUUUCCUAAUUAAAAAAUACCAAGAGGUUGAAGAAGAAAAUGCC
rnacentral:lncRNA from 1 species